rnacentral:rRNA from 1 species
GGGGGGGGGGGGGGGGGGGGGGGGGGCGGGCGGGGGGAGCGGGGGGGGGGGGGGGGGGGGGGGGGGUGGAGGGGGGAGCGGGGGAGGAACACGUGAGUAGCCUGCCCUUGGCUGUGGGAGAACUUCAGGAAACUGGGGCUAAUACCGGAUAGGAGCUCCUGCUGCAUGGUGGGGGUUGGAAGGUUUCGGCGGUUGGGGAUGGACUCGCGGCUUAUCAGCUUGUUGGUGGGGUAGUGGCUUACCCAGGCUUUGACGGGUAGCCGGCCUGAGAGGGUGACCGGCCACAUUGGGACUGAGAUACGGCCCAGACUCCUACGGGAGGCAGCAGUGGGGAAUAUUGCACAAUGGGCGGAAGCCUGAUGCAGCAACGCCGCGUGCGGGAUGACGGCCUUCGGGUUGUAAACCGCUUUCGCCUGUGACGAAGCGUGAGUGACGGUAAUGGGUAAAGAAGCACCGGCUAACUACGUG